rnacentral:rRNA from 1 species
AUGAACGCUGGCGGCGUGCUUAACACCUGCAAGUCGAACGAAGCACUUAAGAUUGAUUCUUCGGCUGACGUCUUUUGUGACUUAGUGGCGGACGGGUGAGUAACGCGUGGGUAACCUGCCUCACACAGGGGGAUAACAGUUAGAAAUGACUGCUAAUACCGCAUAACCCGAUAGGAUCGCAUGAUCCAGACGGAAAAGAUUUAUCGGUGUGAGAUGGACCCGCGUCUGAUUAGCUAGUUGGUGAGGUAACGGCCCACCAAGGCGACGAUCAGUAGCCGGCCUGAGAGGGUGAACGGCCACAUUGGGACUGAGACACGGCCCAAACUCCUACGGGAGGCAGCAGUGGGGAAUAUUGCACAAUGGGGGAAACCCUGAUGCAGCGACGCCGCGUGAGUGAAGAAGUAUUUCGGUAUGUAAAGCUCUAUCAGCAGGGAAGAAAAUGACGGUACCUGACUAAGAAGCCCCGGCUAACUACGUG